GCUGGGCAUGGUGGCGCAUGCCUGUAGUCCCAGCUACUCAGGAGGUUGAGGCAGGAGAAUCACUUGAACCCAGGAGGCAGAGGUUGCAGUGAGCUGAGAUUGCGCCACUGCACUCCAGCCUGGGUGACAGAGAAAGACUCUGUCUCAA
rnacentral:SRP_RNA from 1 species